GCCACACCUACUUCAACAAAGCCACACCUCUUAAUACUGACAUACCCUGGUCCAAACAUACUCAAACCAUCACAAUGGCCACUGUUGGAUCACCCAACUUUUUAUGAAAUUAAAUCGCUCUGUACAGUUUAUAUGCAUUAUAAACCAGGUUCUCUUCCUCUAUAGAAUCAUGCCUACUUCUUUCCUUUGACUCUGCUUUCUUCACUUUAGUUUCCCCGCUCCUUAGAGUGUAUCUACCAUAUUCAAGUCAGACACCCAACUCCAUCUGUGAUUUAGCCUGUUUUUUGCUCUCUGAAAUCUUUUUUGACAAGCCCUGUCUCUCCCUCAUCUCCAGUUGGAAUCAGACAGCUGUUGCAAAGAUGCCAGGACUGCAUUAGUCCCUCUGCUUCUUGGUCCCACUCUAAGAAUACUAGAAGACAGAGCUGAAGACAGGAUGGUGCUGAACACGCAAUCGUGCACACAGCCUGGAAUCUUCUCUCAAGGAACUGUUUGAAGGCUACUGAGCUGAACAAAGACUCGGAGCAAUUCAACAAGUCUGAGGUCAAACCUUCCUUCGCUGACCUAUGCACUAUUUCCAGUUUCAUUUUUUUAUUUGGAUGAAAUCAAUGUGGGAACUCAGGAAGGGGCAAAGGCAGAAACCAUGGAAGAAAGCUGCUUCCUGGUUUGUUCUCCAUGGCUUGUUCUUCUUGCUUUCACAUACCACCCAGGACUAUCUGACCAGAACUGCUUGAGUCUACUUAAGUCACUUCCCAAUCGGUAGUCCCGACCUUGGCUCCUAGCCACCCGCUGCGUCCUGCUGGCCCACCUCUUCCACCUGGGCAGCGGAAGAGUAGCCAAGCAGAAGAGACCCUGCAGCCUACCUUGCUCUGGCUUCCGGUCGCCCUUGGAGAGCGGCAACUCAUUGGCAGCUUCGCCUAGGUCAGAACCCUACAGAUUGCCCACGGAUAGCACCCAGUAUGAAGAACAGGGCUACUGCUUCCAGGGGAAUGGGCUCUCCCACAUCAAUCAUUAAUCAAGAAAAUCUCAAGAACUCA